rnacentral:lncRNA from 1 species
AUUUAAUGCAUGAGAUGCGUAUGGUGAUGAUCAUGGAUGGACCCUUUAAUUGUGCUGAAAUGUUCUGCAAUGUCUGAGAUAUUCUGUGAUGUUAUGUGAUGACAUGUAAAUCAAAUUUUCAGAUGCCUGCAUGCAUCUUAUAUUGAUGCAUUAGAGACCUGCGUGUCUCAUGAAAAAGGGUUGUAACUAUUAUUUAUUUUUUUUAAUUUUUAAAGUUAUCUGGGAUGUAAUCUGUGAUGUGUUUGCACGUCAAUGGUUGAUCGGUGCAUGCCUCUACAAGCACGAUUUGCGCGGAUCAAGAUCAAGGAUUGAUUGAGAUGGAUCAAGGAGUUGAUCGCAAUUGGACCAAGGGUGCUC